rnacentral:rRNA from 1 species
CAUGCAAGUCGAACGGAAAUCUUUUAGAUUUUAGUGGCGAACGGGUGAGUAACACGUAAGCAACCUGCCUUUAAGACGAGAAUAACAAUUGGAAACAGUUGCUAAGGCUGGAUAGGAAAUAAAAAGGCAUCUUUUUAUUUUUAAAAGACCUUUUUCGGAAGGUAUGCUUAAAGAGGGGCUUGCGUCACAUUAGUUAGUUGGUAGGGUAAAGGCCUACCAAGACGAUGAUGUGUAGCUGGACUGAGAGGUUGAACAGCCACAUUGGGACUGAGACACGGCCCAAACUCCUACGGGAGGCAGCAGUAGGGAAUUUUCGGCAAUGGAGGAAACUCUGACCGAGCAACGCCGCGUGAACGACGAAGUACUUCGGUAUGUAAAGUUCUUCUAUUGAAGAAGAAACAAUAGUGGAAAAACUAUCUUGACGUUAUUCAAUGAAUAAGCCCCGGCUAACUAUGUGCCAGCAGCCGCGGUAAUACAUAGGGGGCGAGCGUUAUCCGGAAUUAUUGGGCGUAAAGGGUGCGUAGGCGGUUUAAUAAGUCUCUAGUUUAAUUUCAACGCUUAACGUUGUCCUGCUAGAGAAACUGUUUAACUAGAGUGAGAUAGAGGUAAGCGGAAUUCCAUGUGUAGCGGUAAAAUGUGUAAAUAUAUGGAGGAACACCAGAGGCGUAGGCGGCUUACUGGGUCUUUACUGACGCUGAUGCACGAAAGCGUGGGGAGCAAACAGGAUUAGAUACCCUGGUAGUCCACGCCGUAAACUAUGAGUACUAAGUGUCGGGGUUAAACUCGGUACUGAAGUUAACACAUUAAGUACUCCGCCUGAGUAGUACGUACGCAAGUAUGAAACUUAAAGGAAUUGACGGGAUCCCGCACAAGCGGUGGAUCAUGUUGUUUAAUUCGAAGAUACACGAAAAACCUUACCAGGUCUUGACAUACUCUGCAAAGCUAUAGAAAUAUAGUGGAGGUUAUCAGGGAUACAGGUGGUGCAUGGUUGUCGUCAGCUCGUGUCGUGAGAUGUUAGGUUAAGUUCUAAAACGAGCGCAACCCCUGUCGCUAAUUGUCAGCACGUUAUGGUGGGGACUUUAGCGAGACUGCCAAUGAAAAAUUGGAGGAAGGUGGGGAUUACGUCAAAUCAUCAUGCCCCUUAUGAUCUGGGCUACAAACGUGAUACAAUGACUAUUACAAAGAGUAGCUGAAACGCGAGUUUUCGGCAAAUCUCAAAAAAAUAGUCUCAGUUCGGAUUGAAGUCUGCAACUCGACUUCAUGAAGUUGGAAUCGCUAGUAAUCGCGAAUCAGCAUGUCGCGGUGAAUACGUUCUCGGGGUUUGUACACACCGCCCGUCAAACCACGAAAGUGGACAAUACCCGAAAGCGACAGCCUAAC